rnacentral:sRNA from 1 species
GCUGGUGAGGUGCUGCACACCUGUAAUCCCAGCAACUUGGAAGGCUGAGGCAGGAGGAUCUCAAUUUGGAGACCAGCCUCAGUUACUCAGAAAGACCCUGCCUCAA